CGUUGACGCUUCUGCCCAUUCACUUUGAAUGGGGUGAUGUCACGCUUAGCCGAACUGCAUUGUGGGAGCAAAGCGUAGCUUUCAUGUGAUUGGUUGUUGGUCUAGCUUCAGACAUGCCCGCAGGCAAGCGUCAACGUACGCCGCCGUUUGUAGGGUGCCUGUGAAUAUUGUUACGUUUUCCAAUGGCUUGGAGAUGCAAACUUUGUGCUGCUGUCUUUAAUACAAGGGCAGAGUUACUUGAACAUUAUAACAUUAUUAUUCCCUUGAUUGAAAAGUGAAUGCAGACUACCUUUGCCCUGCGGUGCAAUGAGAUCAUCAAUGAUGAGCUACCUGUUGGAGAGAUCCUGGAACGCUGGCCUGCCUUGAAAAUGGAGUCACAGAGUUUCACAGGAUAACGAACCUCAACCUGAAGAACCACUUCUAUGCGGAGUUGGAUAGACAUGUCCUCCAUCUUCAGAGCCUGUUCAGGAAGAAGGCGGCAAGCAAGGAAAGGAAACUGAACUUCUGGAUCAGCUAUUCGCCUCCUAUGACCUCCAGGAGCAAGUUGACGUCCAUGUCCUCCGUGCUCUGCCUGCAUAUCUGCAUGAAGAUGACUCCACGUUUCUGAGGCUGUGGCAUGUGGAGCAUUCUGAUGAUCCAGACACAGAGGGCAUCGCGGUCGGACUUCUCAUGAUCAGUGCCAGGUCAACAGACACCACGCUCUUCUGCCCAGAGAGGAUCGCUGUUGUCAUUGAGGGUAACGGAGUUAUGGAACUCCCCACACUGGCUGACUCAUUCAUCCUGCUUUUUGCACUGACCUUUGCCCUGCAUCUGAGCUACCCAAAAGACUUGGCCAACACUUUCGACUUCACCCAGAAAGUGUUGAUGAGGGGAACUUGAAGCCCAGGGUGUUGAGCCUGAAAAAGCUUUUGGCAGUUUAAUCCAACCAACAAAGUUGCACUUUAACAAUCACACACACACACACACUGUUCUCCUCUGUUUACAUCCUGCUGCUUUACAUCUGUGUUCUGUUGUGUGCAUUGACAGAUUUGUUACUGUUCAGCUUCAAGUUGAAGGACUGUUCGUAGAUGUUGUUUUAUACUUUUAUAUGUAUUGGGUCUUUAUGGUCCAUGUGUUAAAUUAAUACGCAGAACUGUUCCUGAAAAUUGUGUUCACUCAUAAGUGAUGGUUAAAAUACACACAGAUAUUUCUCAAGGCCCUAGCACUGUUUUUAAGGUGUUUUUAUUUAUUUAAGAGUUAAAUAUAUUGAAUUUGUAUUGUGCUAAAAUGCAUUGUUCUUUUAUAGUGGAAAUGGAAUGUUGGCGAUUUGCCAAAGCUGUUCAAAUUAUCAAUAAAUGCAUUUUUAUAUAUAUAUA